rnacentral:rRNA from 2 species
GCACAAGCGGUGGAGCAUGUGGUUUAAUUCGAUGCAACGCGAAGAACCUUACCUGGUCUUGACAUCCACGGAAGUUUUCAGAGAUGAGAAUGUGCCUUCGGGAACCGUGAGACAGGUGCUGCAUGGCUGUCGUCAGCUCGUGUUGUGAAAUGUUGGGUUAAGUCCCGCAACGAGCGCAACCCUUAUCCUUUGUUGCCAGCGGUCCGGCCGGGAACUCAAAGGAGACUGCCAGUGAUAAACUGGAGGAAGGUGGGGAUGACGUCAAGUCAUCAUGGCCCUUACGACCAGGGCUACACACGUGCUACAAUGGCGCAUACAAAGAGAAGCGACCUCGCGAGAGCAAGCGGACCUCAUAAAGUGCGUCGUAGUCCGGAUUGGAGUCUGCAACUCGACUCCAUGAAGUCGGAAUCGCUAAUAAUCGUGGAUCAGAAUGCCACGGUGAAUACGUUCCCGGGCCUUGUACACACCGCCCGUCACACCAUGGGAGUGGGUUGCAAAAGAAGUAGGUAGCUUAACCUUCGGGAGGGCGCUUACCACUUUGUGAUUCAUGACUGGGGUGAAGUCGUAACAAGGUAGCCGUAAAUCUCUGGAAGAUCCGCG